UAAUUAGAGUUCAGAAUAACAAGUUGCAGCAAUCAAGUCACUAAAAGGUAACACGAAUGGAUGAAUUUUGUGUGUCUAGAUUUACUCGAAGUGUUACUAUGUGAUCUGAAUUUUUGAAUCUUAAAUUUUUGGUCUAGCACUCAUGCAGUGUACUAAUGUGUGAGAUAUAUAUGCAUAAUUACUGGUCUUGAAACUGAGACUUAAAUGUCUUGUCAAAUUAGAUCCAGGGAACAUGAUUGAAACAUGAUCCUGAACGUAUUAUCUUUUACAGGAUGGCAGCACUUACUUUCUUCAUGCUGACUACCAACAAGGUGUUCUAUGAAUCUCAUGAUGAUACUCAUGUGAAUAAAAAGAUAUAUGGCUGAGUUGCUUGCCGCGAGGCAAAAAAAUGCCCCGUUCCUUCAAGUUCUUCCCUUCUAUACCAGGCUCUUAAACCAAGGUUCUUUCUUUUGCUUUCAGGCAUUACUAUAAUCCUGCCUGUUUAUGUGCUCUUUAACAAUUUACUAGAUAAUAUUAUGAGUUGUUAAUAAUGCAAUGCAUUCAAUCAUCCACUCACUAUCACCAAUUAUUUUGUUUAAUUACUUUAUUUUACCCAAGGCUGAAGUACUGCUUUCUAGCUCAUUGUUCGCUUUCUGUUGUUAUUCCUGCCGAUUCCUAGCAACAAACAAUUGUUAUUGAACACCAGAACGCUGCUAUAACCUUUUCAUCAUGGGGUCAUUUCAUUCCUGACCUUGGUUCUUAAGUGUAGCACCAGGAUGAAUAUUUCUACACAGGGAUAUCGGCUUGAAGCCUGGCUUGUUAGAUAAUGGUCUCCCCUGAAUUUUCAGCUGGGCCAAUUUAUGGUAAUCAUAUAUGAUUUUCUGCACUUCAUAUAUUUCUUUUUACGAUAUCACAUAUUAAACAUGCAAGAAUUUUUGUUCUUUUUUACUGUGGCAAGAUGACAAGAUUCCUAUCUGAGUAAUUUUACUCCGAAUUUGUACUAAUGAGACUUUCACCUUAGCCAAAGUUGUUCUCCACCAUGCAUCUAUAGGAAACUUCUGCGUUCAUGCAAGGAGCAUACAUAAGUGCAACCUUUCUGUUCAUCCAGUAAUGCAUUCAGGACUAAUCUUGGCUAAUAGAUUGAUUGAAUCAUUCUUGUCAGGCCAUUACUGGCAACAAGCACGCUAAGUAUUGUUUGCACUCUUCUUGAUCAGAAAUGAAUGAUGAUUUGCAGGUCCUGGGUUGUCUGAUGCUUGUCGAUUUUCUGAAUGGACAGCUUAUUGACGAAGUAACAAUCUUCAUUAAAUUUAUUUCCUAGGUAUUUGCCAUCUGCGUAAUUUUGAAUUGAGUGUUUAUCUAGGCCUGAUGAUGUCUAUUUUCAGUUGCAAACAUGCCAAGAAAUUAUUCUUCGUGUUUAUAGCAUGCUUAGGAUGUUUUUUCUAGAUUCUGAAGGGAUUUCUUGAGCAAUCAGUUUUGCAUACGUCGUGGAGUUUAAAGCCAUGGAUACAACUAAAGACUAAAGUGUAGAAAUACAUGAGUUUUUACUUUUUACAGUCAUAGCUUUCUGUUUCUAUUUACAGAGGACUGCUAUCGAGUAAACAUGUUUUUUCUUAGGCUGUUAUUGUUGCUCUUUGGUUGGCCAGUGCUGGAAAAGAAUCUACGCCCUGGCAGCACUACAAAAUUAGAAGCUUUGGUAGGGCGGUACUUCCCUUUCGUACAUGUUUUCUCUUGGGUAUAUCCUGAUGUUGUGUAAGAUCAUGGAUAAUGCCUUGUAUUUUGAUGCAAUAUGGGAGAUUUCAAGCUUGAAUGUAUAUGUUCCAACACCUGUAACUUCAGAGGACUUGAAGAAAGCAUAUGAGAAUGAAGUACAGGAGAAGCCACUCUGUUAAAGCAGCGAGAAGUGUCCAUUGACUAAAAUUUGAUCGGUCUUCACAGGGGAUAUUUGAGCAAUACGGUUAGCAUCAUUUGUAAACAUAACAUUUGAGUGAGAUGAGCAGCAAUAGCAAGGCAAGUAACAAUGUUGGGGUAUCUUUUCCUUGUUUAAUUGAUUCAUUUGACUUCUGUGUGACCAAUUGAUUUAAUGGUUUAGGCUAAUAUGACUUAAGUUUUAUGUCAA